rnacentral:rRNA from 1 species
UAUGUGAUCGUCUCUCGCAUAUCAAUAAGCGGAGGAAAAGAAACUAACAAGGAUUCCCUUAGUAACGGCGAGUGAAGCGGGAGGAGCUCAAAUUUGAAAUCUUCAAGGUUUUACCUUGACGAAUUGUAGUUUAAAGAAGUGUUUUCUGUUGAAGUUUUGGUAAAAGUUCUUUGGAAUAGGACAUCAUAGAGGGUGAGAAUCCCGUAUUUGACCAUUAUUUUCAGCUGUGUGAUACACUUUCAAAGAGUCGGAUUGUUUGGGAAUGCAGUCCAAAAUGGGUGGUAAAUUUCAUCUAAAGCUAAAUAUUGGCGAGAGACCGAUAGCGAACAAGUACCGUGAGGGAAAGAUGAAAAGAACUUUGAAAAGAGAGUUAAACAGUACGUGAAAUUGUCAAAAGGGAAGCGUUUGACACCAGUGUUGUUUUCUCGAAAAUCAAUUAAAAAGAGUUUGAUUUUGUUGUGUAUUCGACCCUAACAGCUUGCAUUUCAAUUUUCUUGCUUUUUUUAAUGCACUUUUCGUUUAACAAGUCAACAUCAGUUUCUUUUGUUGUAAAAAGGUCAUUGGAAGGUGGCUUUCUUUUCCGGAGAAAGUGUUUAUAGCCUUUGACUCCUGCAAUCGGAGAGACUGAGGUCUGCAGCGUAGAUCCUUCGGGGUUAGAUACAUUUGUGCUAAGUUAUAGCUUUUUAUAGACAACUUGUUGACUAUGAUUAGUCUUGUAGCUUACUCGCUUAUGCUAUUUUACCUACGCUUAGGAUGUUGAAGAUGUAGCACAUCAU